AUUAGUAGUCAGGGAGAUGCCUUAGUGCAUCCAGCACUGCAAGUCAGGGAUGAGACACACUACAACAGGAGAGGGAGCAAGCGCGAGAGGAUAUUAGAAGAGAGGCUUGUCUCCAAGAUAUGGAAGGAAGUGAGAAAUGACAGGGCUGCAAGCUUUGUAUGUAGGAGCCCGGCAGGGCGGGGGAGCGGCGAGGAGAGCCAAGUGGAUUCUCAGAAAAGGGGGGAAGCCAUCGAAGAGCUAAAGGUGAUUAGAGGGGGAUAUUGAUUUCUUAUUCUGCCAGAGAUUUAAGCAGGCAUGCGAGGAAUCUGCACCAUGGUUGGCAAAAAGAGACCCGUUGCCUCCUGUAACCAGACACUCAGGCUUUCCAGGAGCCCAGGGAGCAAGCCGAGAAGAAAGGGGGCAGUGUGGUCUAGGAAAAUUCAACUUGUCGCUGAUUUGUGCCUGAUGCCUGCUGUCCGUCAGCAGCCUCCCUUACAAUCUUUUUUUCUCUCUCUCCUUUUUUUUUCCUUGCCUUCUCCUUCUUCACUGAAGCCUAGGGGAGCCAGUAAAGAUUAAAUGUGCUUCUCAAAGGCAGCCACUUCAUGCUGCUAUGUCGAAAGGGCCAUUAUUAUUAUUAUAUUUUAAUGGUAAAAGAGAAAAGGAGAGAGGUUGAGCGAGCGAGAGAGAAGCUAGGUGUGAUGAUGACAGACUAGCUUUUCUGAGAGGAAAAGGAAAAGGGAAGGGAGAGAAAAAGGAGAGCCUCUGAGCUCAACGGAGGAUUGUGCCUGAGAAGAACCCACAGAGCUGGUCCUAUAGUACCCCUCCUCAGGAAUGUCUCCCCAGUGCAAGGACAAAGACUGAAGAGACUGCUAUAUUGAUGGACUCUCAAGCCAACUAUGAAGUUGAAACAAAGAAAGUGAUCACCUGAAGACACCUCCUCUGCUAAGAAACACCCCCAAAUUGUGCAGCUUCUGCCACUAGAACUCUCAGAACAAGAGACAAUCUUUUCAAGAAACAGAAAAACUCAAUAAUGACAUCUAGAUUUUCAUGAGCCAAGAACUUUCCCUUCCUCAUGUGUAUUCCUCUGUUUGUACUUAAAUUCAUGUGACAUUCAUUUUUUUCCUAGUAUGGAUAUGCUUAUUAAUGCACUUGUUUCAAAAUCCCAAAUUGCACAAAUGUGUUAAUAUUUUAAGAAACAAAAUGAAUCCUACAAGGAGAAUGAUUUUUAGCCACACAUAGGGUUGGAUCUUGAGAGUGACCUACAGAAUAAAAGUACUUUUAAAAUAAAGUAGUCAGAGGCUAUUCAAAGGGUAAAAUAAUCAUAGUACCACAUUGGUCCACUUGACACUAACCAAUCGAUCAUUUUUUUUUAAUCAAGAAAGCUAGAUUCUAUCAGAUAAAAUCACUGCUUCUAAAGAGUUUAAAUCUAGUUAGAAAAAGUUAUAGAAAUGUUUGCAAAGAUAAGUAACAGAUAGAGUCAGUAGAGGAUAAGAUCAAAAACAAAACCAAGCAAAAGAUGAGUUCAGGGGAGUUUGCCAUCAAGUUGGCAAAACUGACUUACUUAGGGAAGAAAGUUAUAAAACAGGAAAAUAUGAGAUGAACCUUGAGUGAUGUGGAAGAUUUAGAUAAAUGGAAAGGAAGGAGAAAAUGGAGUUCUUUAGGUGGUUGUAAUUGGAGGAGGAAAUGAAUACACACAUCUUGUUGACUUAAACCCAGACAUUCAGCAGCUCUCUAUACAUAUCUGGAAAAGACUGCACAGUCACCUCCUGUCUCUCACCCCAGGUAUUACUUAGAAUUAUUAUCAUAUUUCCCUUCCUUUAAAGUAAGUAAGGGUGAUUGGUGACAAUAUGGAGAACUAUGAUUUUUCCAUUAACCUAAUAAUAAUUGGUAUUUAUUGAGUUCUGUUAAGCAUUUUACAUAUUAACUCACUUAAGCCUUUCAACAGCCUUGCAAAAUAGGUAUUAUUAUCCCCAUUUUACAGGCAAGAAAACUGAGGUUUAAGUAACUUGCCGAAGUGCCAUAUACAGGGCUCACAUUCAGUAUUGCAGUUGCAAAGCUCAUGAUCUAUAGUGCCAAGUUGCAAUAUUGUAGUCAAUGUCACAAUUAUUACCCCUUUUUAUAUUCCUUGAUAUUUUUCCAUGGCAAACAAUUAGCUAUUUCAUUUAAUAAUCACCUAAAACUUUUCAGUCUUCUGAUUAAAAUUACGCUGGAGUGAUAGAAUGUAUUUUCAUGAUAGAAAUUGGGAAAAAAAAUGGGGAAUGAAGUUUAUCAGCAUUUCAGACUUGUUUUUUUUUUUUUUUUUUGCAAGACUUUGAUGAGAUUGUUCACUUUUGUCUAUGUAAAAUCCCAAAUCCUUGAGAAUAAAAAAGGGGGAGGUUUAAGUCACUUGUUGCAAUGCCCUUUUUAAUAGAGGCAAUAAAUCUAAAGGCCAUAAAUUUAGAGUGACUUACAGAAGAUCGAACUUUGGAGUGUGGCAGAGUAAGGGAUGGAAACCGGGCCCUCCAGUUCACUAUCAGUAGCUUUUGCACUGGUCUGCCCUUCCUAAAUUAAGUAUGCACUUCAAUUUGAUGAGUGGAAACAGUCUAUCUGGGCAGUAACCAGGGAGCUUUGUGCCUAGUAGAUUGCUUCUGUUCUGCACUUCUUUGGUUUCCCACCUCAAUGUAAAAAAUAGCUAGCAAUGAAGUCCAGAAGUUGUCAAUGGUUCAUCCCCAGAAGAAUGCAUAAUGUCCAAAGUUGUAUGUGUAUGAUGUCUUCAAUGGUAUUAAGUUAUUUCAAAUUCUUAGUUCACCUACAUAAAUCAUUUCUAACAAGCAUCUUCUUAACCAACUUUAUGCACAGUGUAUGUUUGUAAGUGCUUCUGCACGAAUGUUUAUACAUGACUGUUUCCAUAGUACUUAUGUUUUUAAAAAUAUUCAGUCAUUUCCUACUAUAAUCCUCAUGUAUCCAUGUAACUGACUCAAAAAUACUUCAGCCACAGAAAGCUAAAACUGAGCAAAUCUCAUUCUUCUUUUCCAUCCCCUUUGCAUGUGGCUGGCAUUUAGUAAUGAUUAAUAAUAUGGCCAGCUGAAUAACAGAGGUUUGAGACACAAUUCUUUCUCAAAGGAGUCAGCUAAGCUGGGUCUACUUAUGGACAAACAUCUAAAUGUGUGGAAGUAUCUGAUAUUUGACAAUGGUAAAUUUCCACUUAGCUAGCUAGCAUUGUCAGACUUCAAUCUCCUCAUGGCUCUGGCCGUCCUGUUUUAAGCAUGAUAAUUGUUGGCCACAUCUCACAUAGUUCUCAUUGAGUGAGUUCAUAAAUAAACAGGGUUUUUUUUUUUUUUUAAAGAGCAGCCAAGCACAAAGUGUGACUUUGUUGACAUUUUAUGUGACUUUGUCAUAUGUUCCUAACCCCCAAUAAAAGCAAUGUUGCAUCAACUGUGAA
rnacentral:lncRNA from 1 species